AACAUCAUGCAUGUUGCUACACAUUGGAAUGAUUAUAGCAAAAAAGGCCUAGACCAUCAUGUUCCUAAAGCUAUUGGUCAUGUUGCGAAAAACUUCGAAAUGGAUCCAAAAGAGGAGGUGUCCUGAGGUGUAUGCACAAAGAUACUCCAGAAGGGUGUUCGACAACAACGAUACAUAUUGAAGAGGGAUUAUUUUACGGGUCGUACCCGUGAAGAAGCAUUAUCUCGUAAGACACCCAAAGUUGGUCAACAAAAUUGGGAAGCUCUUGUUGACAAAUGGUCAGAUGAAAGAAACAAGGAAAUUUGUGCCAAGAACAAGAAGAACCGAGAAGCUGUGAAGCAUCACCAAACUACAGGCUCUAGGUCUUAUCCUUCUCAUUUCCACCAACUUAAAAAAGACAAGUACAACAAUGAGGACCCUAGUC